UGGUCUUCCGCUGGCGGUUCUCGCUGUUGUCGCUAUCUGGCGAAGGAGAGCGUGGACGCUUCCCCUUUGGGUCAGAUUUGCAAUUGUCCCGUCCUCGGGAUCUCUUGACGAAGUUGCCAAGUUCUCCCUUUGAGAUCAACUGCUCGACAAAAGACGAGAAUUCCCUGCAGUGGUCUGUUAGGUGGCCGCAGUCUUUGUGAAAUUUGCAGUAUUUCCCAGAUUGCGUGCGGCCCUCUUUGCCUGCAGGGUCUAAAAAACGAGGGGCAGGUAGAUCCGCUCGGUUCUUUAGCUUCUCAAACAGCUCGCCUUUGCUGAUUGUAAGCGGGGUAUUCCUUUUCCAUAGUGAAGCUGCACCCUUUGGCGGUUGGCUGGUUGAGGUUUGGUAUACCUUGUUAUUGUGCCUAGGCUUCCAUUCUUUUUUGGAAGUUUCAGCCCUGUUGUUGGUAUACCUGUUAGAGGUGUCGUGGAAAUUGUUGUUUCCACUGUACCCCUUCCUCUCAAACUUAGGCUUCUUGAAGCUAGGAGUCCCAAGUUCAGCUAGCUUGUUCUCAUCCUCCUCUUCCACUUCAAUGUAUGAUUGAGCGCGUUGGAAGAGGUCGGGUAGAGAGUUCACCUUGUAGAGGGUCAGAUUUUGGACCAGAGGGGAGUAGGGGACCAAUCCUCUGAUGUAUCCCGCUAUGGCCACACUUGGGAUCAGAUCAUUCACUUCUGUCAUCAUUGUUGUGAACUUGACCGUAUAAUCCCGCAGAGACAGCUUAUCCUGACGAAGUGCCAGAAGUGCGUUGGCACUGUGUUUAAUUCUUAUCAUCCCCACAUGCUGGGCGAUGAAUUUGGACGAGAGGUCUGCGAAGCUGGUGAUUGAGCCAGCUGGCAGAUCGGAGAACCAUCGAUAAGCACUGCCCUUGAGAGUGUCGGGGAAUGCCCGACACAACAGCCCAUCAUCGAUGGUUUGCGGUUCCAGGACGUUGAGGUAGAGAUUCACGUGAUCUUUUGUAUCACUUGAACCGUCAUACGCCUCAAUCCUGGGUACCCACCAGGUAGGUGGGAAAGAUUCCCUUAAAAGGUCCUCGCGAAGAGGAGCACUUUUAAUCCUCAGGAUCUCGUGCGGAUUGCCGACAGCUGGGUCGGUGGCCAGUUUCCGACGAAGAUCCUCUACAAACCGAGUGGUAAGAGUCCUUUCAGAGCGACUCUUACUGGGUCCCGUUUUAAGACGGGAUCUCUGUUUGGUUUUCUCCGCAGAUGGAGAUUAGAUGGACCCAGAUUCAUCCGCCUUUUCACGGAUGGUGGUGGUCCUUUGACUCCUCACUUGCUCGAGGUUAGUCAUCCUUCUUUCUAUGUUGUCCAUAAAACUGAACAACCUUUCUUCCAAGGUGGGUGGAGCCUUGGGCACUAUGUGUUCCUCGAUGUGUGGAGGAACCGAGUUUGUUUCAUCAGGUCGAGCAUUGUUGGGUCCCUUUGGUCGUGAUUGCUCGCCCUGCUCCAGCUCAGUUGCUGGCAUUUUUCCCUUACUUCUUGUGGCGUAAGGAUGCUUUUGCUUUUCGAUGAUGGCCAUGAAAACAAAAGCGGAGAAGUACCAAAGCGGGGAGGUGACCUGACAGAGCCUGUCGGAAAAACAAAAAAUAAGUCGGCGAGUUAGGGGCUAACUCGGCGACUUUUAGAUUUCGAGGUAUUUUCCGAACAAGGUCGUGGACAGCACUCUUAGCUAGCAGACGAUAUUCCGGAUCGGGCGAUUCUCAAGGAUAAGUCGACGAUUUAAGGCUAAAUCGGACCUGAACCGAGAAUCGGACGAUCUAACUCGGCGACUUUUUAACAAACUAGGCGAACCCUCUAGGAGAGCUCGAGCCGGAUUUUUAAAAAAAUCGCGAUUACGACGGGAUACCGGUGGUUCGGUAGUCCCACAGACGGCGCCUGCUGAUGAAGCACGUGAAUCUGCUACCAGGGCUCGCGGUGGUGCGAGGUGAUGUCGGAGGCUCUGGAGUCUACGACGCGCGCUCUACGUCAAAUACCUGCAAGUAGAAACUAGGCGAUUCUAGUGAGACUCGCCGAGUUUCUUAGUGGUGCUCUGGUGUGAGCGAGGAACUUGAAUCGUGCCUUUGAGUGUCCCCUUGGAACCCUUUUUAUAGGGUCUCGGAGGGCGCACUCAAAGGCGGAGAUCGCGCCUAUGGUCAUAUAUGGUAACAUUUAUGACGUUGGCUGUCGCCGAGUAACGGUCGUAAGUCGGCGAUUCAGGUAUGGAAGUCGCCUAGUUAGGGCUAACUCGCCGAGUUUCCAGGGGAAAGAUGUGCAUUCUACCAUACUACCGAUCUUGGCCUUAACUCGGCGACUUAUCCUUUAUGUCUGCGACUUGGUAGUCCAAUCGGGCGACUUAUGGGCUAACUCGACGAUCUGGACGAUGAACGUGUUCCGCACCGUAGGAGCUCUCCGGGGGUCCGGCCAAAGCGACGGAACCCUAGUCCUUGUUGAAAGGCGUUGCUGAGAGUGACUGCCGUAAUCAGGCAUGUCUCACCACUUCUGCUGGGAGGUCAUGAUCUUACCCAAGAAAAAAGGAGGGUUAGGAUUAAGAUAUUUUAGGAAAUCCGCGAAAGCGGUUGCUAUUAAAAGAUUACAUUAUUUAUGAAAUUGCGAUAACUCUAUAUGGUCUUCUUGAAUGAAAGACAAGUAUAUACAAGGAUGGAGCAUGGACAAUAUAAGCAAGAGGAAACAUGCGAACUCAGGUAUUUGGGUUGAAUUGCUCGACACGACAGGUAACUUUGGUGAUAUAUUUAAAUGCGAUACUAAUUAUUCUUAUGUUUGGACUACGGCAGGACAAAGCUUCUCCUACAAAAACGCUUGGAAAUCAGUAAGGUCCAAAGGGUAGGUGGACAACCUAGAUGAGGGAAUAUAAGUAUCCAACAUUCUCAAGUACGAUAUGAUGACCCUAUAGAGAGAAAAUUGGAAGCGGAUCACAACCAACACAGAAAUGGCUAGGAGGGAUACCUUAGAGAACAUUGAUUGUUGGCUAUGUGGAAGACAAGAAGAGUCAUAGAAUCCUUUGUUUUACCUUUGUGACUACGCAUCAGAUAUAUGGAGGUACUUCAGAGAGAAGUUGUCGGAGGUUGUGGACGAGCAAGACACAUAUUAAACUGUAAUACCUCGCUAAGGUGUCGGUCGACGGAAGAUAGUUCCCAGAGUGGGCCGGAGGUUGGAGGACGGAAAUUCUCCCUAAGGAGCCAGAGACAGAGAGUUGUUUUGGUUUAAUAUUGGAUGCUCAGCCAUAUCCUUCAUUCCAUUUAUUUAUAGUCGUUCAAAAAUAUAAAAUGGAAAUAAUAAUUGAAACGGAAAUAAUAAUUUUUAAAAACUAAGGAUUUGAUUGUGCCUGUCACCGAUUCUACCAAUCAAUAAUACACGAAAUUGGGAUCGUAUUUCCCUUUCUAAAUCCUGACGGUCUAUGCUUGUGAUCCCUCCGAAAUGGAAUCUUCUAGAACAACUUCCUCGAUAGCCAAGUCUUCUUUCAAAUGACGUAUUACUUCUUCCAUAUUCAGCCCAAUUGUAACAUCCCCUACUCCAUCAGUUUUAACCUUGUCCUCAAGGUUAGUAGAAGGCACCAAUCUAGAAAUGGUGUUGAUAUCCUCCCACGUUUUUCAUCGGGGUCCAACUCCAUCCAUUCAACUAGUACUUGCCCAAUUUUCUUAUCUUUUCUUUUAAUCACUCGGUAAGCCAAAAUUUGAUGCGGAAUUAAUUACUACCAGGUGUGAUUCAGUGGUCAAUGGAGGUAUUGUAACGCCCGACUCCGAUAGUCUGUCACCUUUGAACUCCUUGAGUAAGCCGAUGUGAAAUACCGGAUUUUUUUUGCAUUCCGGGGGUAAAGCCAAUCAAUAUGCCACAUUGUUAAUUUUUUUCUCUACCAAGAACGGCCCGUAGAAUUUCAUAGACAAUUUCUAAAAUUUUCGCCGCUCGACGGAGUGUUAUCGGUAUGGAUGGAGUUUAAGCCAAACCCACUACCCCACUUGAAAUUCGUGGAAACGACGCUUGAGGUCUACAUAUUUUUUCAUUCGUGCUUGAGCUUCCUGCAAAUUCGUCUGCAAUUCUUUCAACAUUUUCUGUCGAUCGGUCAGUAUUGUGUCUACUGCCUCGACCCUAGAGUCUCCGGAUCGGUAAUCCAUGAUUUCUGGGGACGGUCGCCCAUAGACUUCUUGGAACGGCGUGGUCUUGAUGUUGUGGUGAUAAGGCUAUAUAUUAUACCAUAGUUCCGCCCAGGGAAGCAGUUCUGGCCAGGAACGCAGAUUUUGCUGGAUCGUCGCUCUGAGAUACUGCUCGACAGUCUUGUUCGUAAUCUCCGUCUGGCCAUCUGUUUCGGGAUGGUAGGCCGAUAACAUUCUCAGUGUGGUGCCGCUCCGAGUAAAUAGUUCUUGCCAAAAUUUACUCAAGCAAACUCUAUCGUGAUCGGAUGUGAUGGUCUUAGGAAUUCCGUGGAGUCUUAGGAUUUGGUUCAUGAAAUAUUCCUUAACUAAGGCUGCUUUGUAACCCGUUGUUAACGCCCCCAAGUGAUAAGCAUUUAAAUGGUAUACCAGAAGCUGAAUUCAGAUACCUGAAUUGAUAUCCGGAUUUUAUUCGGACGGGUUCGGAUAUCCGGAAAAUCCAUCGUUAAAAUAUGAAUUCGUUUAAAAAUUCUGGAUUCGGAUAUCCGAAUAAAUAUAAAUUGACUUUCGGAUAUCCGGAUUUUAGGAUCAUUAAUUGAUUAUUAAUUAACUUUAUUAAUGGUGAUUUUAUAUUUUUAUAAUUUUAUUUUAAGAUUUUUAUAAAAAGUUAUCUGGAUUCGGAUUCAAAUUUUCAUAUCCGGAUUUUAUUCGGUCGGAUUCGGAUAUCCGGAUCAUUAUUCAGAUUCGGAUACCUGCAUAUCCGAAUCCGAUCGAUAUACAGGCUUACCAAGUGACAAUACUUGGUUAGUCGGUUGACGACCAUAACGAUUACCGAUUUUCCUCCCACCGAUGGCAACCUAAUUACGAAGUCAAUUCUGACAUCUUCCCAAAUGGCUGUCGGAAUCGCGAAUAGUUUUAGAAGCCUGCGGGGUUUGAGAGGCGGCAUUUUCACCUGUCACAUUUGACAAUUCCCAAUACCUUUAUAUCACGAUUCAUACCUUCCCAGAAAAACAUUGAACGGACACACUCCAAUGUGCUAAAAAAUCAUGAGUGUCCUCCUAAUCACGUGUUGUGAAGGUCUGUCAAGAUUACCAUCCGUAGGGGUGAUGUGGGCCUGAUGCAGAAUUGCCCUUUGAAAGAAAAAGUUCCUUGUUUAAUUCGAAUCCUUCCCUGGACGUUUUGUCGAGGAUUUGCUGUCGUUUCUUAAUCAUCCAAGUGUCGAUCUCAUUUUCCUUCUUGAGUUGGGCUUCCCAAUCGAGAAUUAAGGCUGUCGACAUCGCGUGUAACUGGGUCGUUGCUUCCUCACUGCUGGUGAUAUAGAGAGAGCGUCGGUGGCUCCAUUAUCUUGACCUCUUUUGUAUAUAAUAUUAUAUUUAUAUUCCAAAAGCUUGGUUAGGAAGAAUUGUUGUUCUGGUGUCUGUAUGGUCUGACCCAACAAGGUCUUCUGACUCCGGUGGUCGGUGCAUGUUGUAAAAUCGUUGCCCCACAAAUAGUGUCGUCACUUAUGUACCAUGUCGGUGAUCGUCCACAGUUCCAUGGAAUAAGUAGAUGCUUUCUGCCGGAGAGGAGACAACUUCUUGCUAUAAAAUGUAAUUGGGUGUUCGUUCUGCAGUAGAAUAGCCCCGACGCCUACGUCGCAUGCAUCUUUUUCAAUCACGAAAGGUAAUGAGAAAUUAGGAUAAACUAAGAAUGGUGUCGUAGUUAAUUUCUCUUUCAAUAUAUGUUGAAUGCGGUAAACCCCACUGGAAUCCAUCCUUCCUCAGUAGAUCGGUCAAAGGAGCUGUCGAUUGAGCGUAUUUCUCAAUAAAUCGUCGGUAGUAGCUCGUGAGCCCCAAAAAAGCCCGUACGUGUUUUACUAUCUUGGGUUGAGGCCAUGACUUAACCGCUUCUAUCUUCUCUGGGUCGGGCCGGACUCCCGUAGCUGAAAUAAUGUGGCCGAGGUAGGUUAAGCUUGACACCCCAAACUCACAUUUAGAAGCCUUGAUGUAGAAACAAUAUUGUUUUAAUUAUAAUUCCAGAACUACUCCUAAGUAUUAAAGAUGUAUCUCCCUGGUCUUGCUAUAGACUAGAAUAUCGUCAAAGAAGACAAUCACAAAUUUUCUCAAUAAUUCUUCAAAGAGGUGGUUCAUGGUAUCUUGGAAUGUUGCAGGUGUAUUGGUGAGACCGAACGGCAUAACUAAAAAUUCAUAAUGACCAUAAUGGGUACGAAAUUAAAAGUCGUCUUUUCAGUGUCGUUUUCCGCGAUCCUUAUUUGGUGAUAUCCUGCUCGAAGAUCAACUUUUGAGAAAAUUGUAGCCCCGUCCAACUCAUCAAGAAGCUCGUCCAUGGUAGGUAUUGGGAAACGAUCCCGGACUGUGGUCGAAUUUAAUGCACGAUAAUCCACACAAAACCUCCUUGAUUCGUCCUUCUUGAGCACUAGUAAUACUAGGGAGGAAAAUGGGUUGACACUGUGGCGGUUUGGCGGAUUAGUCCUUGCUUGAGCAUCUUCUCAGUCAACCUCUCAAUCUCUGACUUUUGAAAAUGGGGGUAGCGGUAGGGAUGGACAUUGAUGGGGUUUUGUUCCUGGAUUUAAUAAAAUGUUAUGAUUAAUGGGUCUCCAGUGUGGUAGGCCUACGGGCUCUUGCAUGAUUAACGAAUAUUAUAUUUCUUUAAAACUUGUAGUUCGGCCCAAGGCUCCUGAACCGACUGGGCUAUUGUUGGAUCGGCCCGUAGUUGACAAAAAUAUGCAACCUCCACACGACCCAUCAACGUUUUUAAACCCCGUUCGAAAUCUGGUCUGGUGCGUUACUCUGUAUGCAUAUUGACUUGCCUUGAUGUUGAAAUUCCAUCGUCAGUUGUUUAUAGUUACAUGUCACCGCCCCUAGGAUCUCCAACCAUUGUAUGCCCAACACAAUGUUGGCGCCCUCCAUAUAUAGCCAACACAUACAAAUCCUCGUUCAUGGUCAACUCCUAAAUUGUUAACUUUACCUUACGACAUACUUCCCGGCAGACGAGAUACUUUGCCACUACCAAUAAAGACUUUGAAUUCCUUGAGUGAUUGUAGUCCAAUCCCCAGCUUGUAGGCUACCGAAUCCUGAAUAAAGUUAUGAGUCGAUCCACUGUCGAUGAGUAUUGUGAGAUCCCGACCCCUGACCGUUCCUUUUAACCUCAAUGUUCUCGAAUUGAAAGUCCCCACUAAGGCUUGGAGACUUAUCUUGGUUGUUCCCUCUUCCAUCGCUACCUCUUCCACAUGUUAUUCCUCCUUUGGCGGUUCCUCGCACAUUUCGACUAAACAACCUUGUUGAUCAGUAUCAAUCCGAAAAGUCUCCCUUUGCAGUGGUGUUCCGAGGCGUAGGCUUCAUCGCAGUUGAAGCACAAGCCUUUUGUUGUCUGAAUUCGCCUCUCCUCAACUGUUAAUGUCUUUCGCACAAUGGGCACAACCUUGGGCACCUCUGGUGGGGUCUUGAGUAACGGACCCAGAUUAGCUAUUGUACUCUGCUGGUAUGAUUUUCGCCAAGACACUACAAGAAAAAGGCUUAUUUGGUCGCAAAAAGGCAUAAGUUGGUCACUUAUAGAAAAAAACGACCAGUUUUUUGAUCGCCACGUUAGUCGCAAGAAACCCCGUCAAUAGUGAUCUAUAAGCGACCAACUUUUUGAGUUGGUCGCUUGAAAGUGGCCAACUGGGUUGGUUGCUCAAUAAAUCUAAAUCAGACCAAAUUUUUGGCGCCAACAUAAGGGCGACCAACUUGGUUAGUCCCAAAAAUUUGGCGCCAACAAUAAGUUGGUCGCAAAAAUUUGGCACCAACAUUAGGGCGUCCAACUUGGUUAGUCUCAAAAAAUUGGCACCAACAUAAGGGCGACCAACUUGGUUGGUCCCAAAAUAAGGGCAACCAACUUGGUUAAUUGGUCCCAAAAAAUUGGCGCCAACAUAAGGGCAACCAACUUGGUUGGUCCCAAAUAUUUGACGCCAACAUAAGGGCGACCAACUUGGUUGGUCCCAAAAAAUUGGCGCCAACAUAAGGGCGGCCAACUUGGUUGGUCGCAAAAGUUGUCGCUUUAUACUAUAGGCGACUAAUUUUAAAAGUGGUCUUAAAAAGUCAAAUAUAAGGCUAGAGUUGGUCAGAGAAAGGCUCCUUUCUUGUAGUGAUCGUAUUAUGUAUUUGAAGUUUGAACUAUUCUAUGUAUUUUGAUAAUUGAUAUAGAUAUAUAAAAAAAUAUAUGAAUUUCCUUUAGUUUUAUAUAUAUUAAUGAAAAUGUCAUUGACGCAUCUGUGCGCAUAUGCGUGUAUGCUCAAGUGCUCUAGGUGGUGGCGCAUCCGGAACCAUGAUGGAGAUAGGGGUCCCCCUGCCUUAAUCUUUUGUUUGACCCAAUCUGCUUGUUUGGGAUAUCAUUUAUUAAGAAUGUUAAUGACGUAGUGCUGACUAGCAUCAUGCAUUAUGUGCUAAAUCUUAGUGCUAUAAGAGUAGUUUUUAGGGAUUUUCAGCUACAUGUAUCGAAUGUCUUUCUUAGGUAUGGCUUGAUUGUUGCAUUUGUCCUGCCUGUUGAUUUUCCAAAAUCUAUGACCAUUUCAGUGGCCAGUAGAAAGUUGUCUCCUUGGUAGGAUCGAAGGUUGUUUGGUUAGAGUUAAUUACAUCUUUUACACGUCUACUAGUCUGUUUGUGAUUAUUUUGGAUAACAUCUUGUAUAUUAUGUUUAUACACGAUAUUGGUCUGAACUGAUCCAGUGAUGAUGCAUUCUUGAAUUUUGGUAUGAGGGUUACAAAGGUAUCGUUCACUUGUCUGAGCAAAUUAUCCUCAAGAUAUAUUGAUUGAAUGACCCUAACGAGGUCUGUCUCUAUUGUGCCUCAAAACAAUUUAAAGAAUGCUCCAUUGAAACCAUCCGACCCUGGGCUCUUGUUUGUGUUUAGGUGGGAUUACCAGUCAGAGGCAGAGCUACAGUGUAGCGAGGGAAAGUUUUAGGAUUUUUCGAGGGUAUGUGUGUAAUUAAAAUAAAUAUAGGGUUAAAAAUAUAAAUUUUACAUAUUUUUAAUAUAAUUUCAUUUAAACGCACUCUUCUUCCUCUAUUCUUUAUCUUCAAAAUUUUAAAUCCCUAUAUUUUUUUUCCAACCUCAAUCUCUAAAUCCCCAAAAUCUUCUGUAAAAUUUUAAUUUUUAAAAAAUUAUUUAUCGAUGUAUUUUGUUAGACUAUUAAACUUUAUAUUUGUUUAAAUAAAUGUGGAUGUAUUUUGUUAAACUAUUUAUUUAAAUAAACAGGUUUUCUUCUAUAUUUAUUUUUUUGGGAAAAUUUUAAUUAAAGUCUGAAAAAAAAAUUCCACCUCCGGCAAAAGAACUCUGUUACCCCCAAAACAAAUUUCUGAUUCCACCACUUACCAGUUACCACCUUCUUGAUUUUUUUUAUAGUUGAGGACUCUCACAAGUUCAGUGUUUUGUUCAGGACUCCAAGUGUUACCACCUUCAGUGUUUUUUUAAACUCUUUUAUUCAAUAUAAAGUAAGAGUGAGAAUGGGGCGGGCUUCCGUUCCGCGACCCGGUGGUAACCGGGGACGGGGCAGAAUAUAUGCCCCGUUUUCCAUUUGUUGCCCCGGUCAUAUUCCGGAGCGAGUCUCGGGUCAGGGCGAAACCCAGGCGGGUCGCCCCGGUUUAAAAAUAAUAAUUUUUUAUUAUAUUAUAUUAGAUAUAAGAUUAUUAAAACUACAAAUUUUAAGAAUUAAAGUAAAAAGUUUACCCAUUUUAAAUUUUAGGUUUACUUUUUUAAUUAUUUUUUUAUAAUUUUUUAUUUUUAUAAUUCCAGGCAGGUCUCAGUGCGGGGAAGUAGGGUGUCUGAGCCGCCCCGUUCCGCCUCCCGUUUAGAGUGAGUUGUGUUUGAUGGAAGUAGGUCUUACUCCUCUUAUCACGUGUGCCUGCAGAGUAAGGGGGCAUAAGCCACACUUCGAAUUGUAGGUGUUCAGAAGCUUCCAUAAGUGUGUGUUAUGAUCCAAGUCCCCCUUAUCACGUGUGUUUGCAGAGUAGGGGGCAUAUGCCACACUUCAAACUUCAGGGUCUUGGUAGUGUAGUUUGGUGUAUCUGAUGGGAAAAUGCCCUACUCCUCUUAUCAUGUGUGCCUGCAGAGCAGGGGGCAUAAGCCACACUUCGAGUUAUAAGUACUCAUGUACUCCGAUCCCACCAAUGCAAAUUGAAAGAUAUAUGAAUUGAAAUCACAAUUACGAGUGUAAUACAAUAUGCCAUUUCAUGUAUUCUAUUAAGUUAAGUAAUGAUAUUUCAUUCAUGUAGACAUGAUGUUGUAGAUAGAUUAACAUCGAGCAUAUAUUUAGCAUUUCAUUCAAUAUCUCAAGUUUAUUAGCAUGGAAUGUACAAAUAAUUAGCAUGGCAUGUAUGCAGUUCUGUAGAGGCAUUAACAAGAAGCAUGCAUUUCAUAUUGUGGGCAUGGCAUGCAUGAUGUUCUAGAUAAAUCUGUGUAGAUAGUUGAUUAAUCAGUUACUAAUUAAAUCAGAUAGUUUUAGACAGUUACAAAUUAAAUGCUAAUCAGAUUUAUGUUGAUCGAUGUUGCAUGCUAGAUUUUAUUAGGGGUUAAUGGUUUUAGGUUGCAUGCAAGUAAGUCUGAUAAGAGAGAUAUAUGUAUUUUUAUCUAGUUGUUAUUAUCCCUAAAUCCUAGGGUACAAACCUUGCCCCUUAGGGUUUUUGAGACGAGGAUGUCGGAGCCUGGUCGAAGACCUGAUCUGAGAUCUUGAGCGGAGAGCGAGUGUCCUAGUGAUCAGCCAGAGUAGAUCUGAGUCUGGAAGCCCAGAUAUGCUCUGAUACCAUGAAGAAUCUGAUAACUGAGGAGGCGUGAGACCGGAGGCCUCGAUGCACGUAAGCGAGGAGAGAAGAAAUGAAGGUGAGGAGUACGUUGAGAGUUGGCCGGCAGAGCCGAUUUUCGGAUAUAUAUUGAUCGAUCGAGAAAACUGAAUUACAUAGUGUGGAAGUUUAAGAGGAAAGACGAUCUCUAGGGUUUCUAGGGUUUCAGAGAAAAAUAUUCAAAAGUUAAUAUUGUCGGCAUUAAGAUAUGCCUUAUAUACUAGGGUUGUGAACUUGUGAUAAGUUUAUCACUGAUGAACUGAGCCAAAUUAUUGCUGGGUGGUCUAAUAUAUAGACCUUAAUACUCUCUGUGGAACAUUUCAGAUUCGUGAUGUCCUCCGUCUUCAGCAAGUUCCCGAGAGUACGUACGGAAUCCCUCCUUCAUGACCUGUUACUAGUAUGAUGUAGAGUAGGAGAAAAUUACAUUAGGAUGUAUAGUAGCUUUACAAGUGUCACUUCAAAACUCUGUCUUUUUUUAUAUCAAAUCAACUAUAUUUUCCUAGCGUUAACAUACCCACAAAGUGAAACCCAAAUAUCUCUCCAAUCUCAAAACGCACUCUCGACGGAGAUUUUCUCAAGAAACCCUAGUUGAACGGUUUCGUUUUAUCGAGCAGACGCGUCCAUUGAAGAAGGUACGAACGAUUUCUAUUUCUAUUUAAACCGUUGUUCUAGUCUCGUGAAACUUGUUUAUUGGGUUCGGCUACAUCUUUGUUUUGGAACGAAACAGGGUGCUCGUUCGACUGAAGUUUUAUAAAGAAGAGAGGUGUUUCAUUCUAAGAACAAGGUAUGUUAUUCAAAUAUUUUCAAACUUGUGGAUGUUCUAUAUCUACAUUGCAGUUUGGAGGAUAUUUUUUAGAAAAUCAUUUGAUGGGUUCCGUAACUUCAGUUGCAUCUCUGUUUUGAACAGAAUAGGAAAGUUGGUCUGCUCAACUUUAAUUAAGAAGUGAGGUGUUUUUUUCAGAGAAGAAAGGUACGUUUUUUUAGAGUUAUUUUAACUGUUAGAUGUUUGAAUUCUACAUUACAGUUUGAACGAUAUAUUUUAGACCAUCGAAUUUGUUGAGUUUUCAGUGAUUUUGUAAAAAUAAAAACAAAAAGAAAUGUCUUUGUCCAAUGAUUCUAGCGAUCUCCGAUCAUCUCAAAUACAAUUAACUCAACCAAGAAGAGAUGAAAUAGGAGAUGCCGACGGUUUAAUACUCUUUCUUUUUUUUAAUUUGUGCGACUAAAUCAUUUGUAAUUAAAAAAUUAGUACUAACUGUCUAUGUUUGUAGGCGACAUCGACAUUGAAUUUUCACUUGCCAAGGGCGACAGAAGAGUGGUGAAGGCUAAGAGAGAGAGGACUGAAAAUAAUCUCCACAUUAGUGAGUAUUUUUAUUGAAUUAUUUAUUUUGUCGUUUUUUUCGUUUAAAAUAUAUGUGUUUUUUCUCCCGUCAAUGAUUUGAUCAUACAUCGUUCGAGUAUUCCAACUUAUGUUGAUGUUGUCCGAAAGGGCAAAAUAAAAUUCCCAAGAUCAAAUGUGCGGAAAUUGAAGGACACGUAUUUUGGAGCAUUUGUUGAGAUGAUGGAUUUCCCCAUCAAAUCUAGAUUGUUAGACGACUUGGUUGGAGCUUGUGUCGGAAAUUACUGUUUUGAAAUAAAAGACAAGAAAAUGAAGGUUUCUGUUAAAGAAAUUGGGGAAAUUCUGGAGAUUCCAUGUGAAAGACUGCCAAUUAAUAUGAAGCCUAAGGCCAAACCAACUAGCGAAUGGGCCAAUAGGUAUUCAUCACUAAAUCUUGAUCUGAAGAGAGAUGUGAUUAGUAGUACGAUGAGUUCGAUUUUGGAGAAGAAAAAAGAAAUGGAUGACGAAGAUUAGAAUGACAUAGUAAGACUGUGGAUUAUAUUUUUUUUUAUUACAAUCCUAGGCUGCAAAAACAGUUAUAGGAUUGGAAAAAAAGUGCUCGACUAUGUCGACAACUUAGGCUACCUGGAAGAGUACAAUUGGGGUGCUUAUAUAAGAGAUGUUUUAUUCCUGAAGACAGAUAAAUGUCGUGACAGUAUCCUCCAUCGAAGACAUAGUGCAUCUAAAGAAUAUUUGGAUGGAUGUAUAUUUGUUUUGAUGGUAUGUUAAAUAUUUAAUUUUUUUUUAAUAAUGUCAAUUUUGUUUAUAAUUAUUGUAUUUCACUCGUAAAACAAUUAAGUGUGGUUGUACAAACACACAAUGAUUGCGAAACAGGACGAGGUCUACGUGGAAUUUGAACCAUACUUCAAAAAAUGGGGUGGUGAUGUUGUUGUUCUGAGGACAUCAUUGACUGAUUUGAGGCCUAGUGAGGUACAUUUGUGUCUAUUGAAUGUGGUUUUGUAAGGUAGUAGUGGUAAUAUUGGUUUUAUGACAUGUAUGCUAUAGGUAUUUUCAAAUGACAUUCCCUUGAAAAAACGAAUGUCACUUGCGAGGGAUAUGGAGGCUCAGUCCUCAGAAGAAUAUAAUAAUACCUGGAUGUUGUGGAUGAUGGAUCAAAUUCUAGCGCAAGAUCUGAUUCAAGUGAUUCUAAUGAUGAGAAGAAAAAGAAAAUGAUUGCAAAGGGGAAGAAACCUAUGGUUGAAGCGAAAAAGAGUAAGAAAAAUACAAGUAAUGAAGGUAAUGUUGUGAAAACUAAAUGUCUAGUAAGUGUGGAUGCUACUAUGAAAACUGAUAAAGAGCAACUGAGGAAAUUGGUGAAGAUGAAAUCAAACAAAAAAAAGAAAAGUGUGCAAUCGUCAGUACGUCGUAGUUAAAGACUAUCACGUGGUAGAUCUGAGAGUACUGGUAACUUAAACACGGAGGAGAGAAAUGUGAAGAAAAUUAAGAAAGCGAAAGAAUGUAAGAAAGUGUGAUUUAAUAAUGAAGAAACAACUGUAAAGGAAGGUAAAAAUAAAUUUUGAAAUUUGUAAAUGAAUCUUGCUUUAGGUUUAGGUUGUGGUCAGAGAAGUUGCAAUUUAUUAACCAGAAGUUUAUGCAUGGCUGAAAAAAAAUGUUGAUGAUAAGACUGAAGAUGAUGGAAAAAAGGAGGCAGAGAAAAAGGAGCAACAAAUUACCUACCAAUGAAAAAAGUAAAAGAAAAACUCUAUAUAACUUGGGAACUGAAAAUUAAGGAUAAUGGUAACAAAGCUAGUGCAAGUACAUCUAACGAAGUUGAUCUUACAUUAGAAGGUAAAAAAAAAUUUAAUUUUGUUACUGAUUUGUUUUUCAGUUGCUAAUAAUCUAUUCUUCUUUCAUUUUGAUGAAGAUAAUUGCAAUCCGAAUAUAAAUGAGUCAAAGUGUCCGAGGAAGUAGAUUAAAUUUUUAAGAAUAUCUUUUCUCGUAUUAUUCAAAACAACUUUUUCUUUACAACAUUUCAAUUUCAGUUGUUUUCCAAAAACUUUAUGACAUUUUGAAACCAAAAUCAAACACUGUAGUUUUGAACAUUUUCAAUGUGAUAAUCAACUUUGAAAUAGUUUAUAUGAACUGCUAUUAUGUAUUAGUAAGUGUAAUGUACGUAGUGCAUGACUAAAUGCUAUAAUAUGACCUGAAAAUGCUGGGACACGAGAGAUGAAUGGUAAGUUCAACUAUGAUUUAUUUCUGUAACACUAGCAUUUGUCAAAUAAAUUCUAAUAACAUCUUUCCACAGAUAUUUCUGAAUUCGAAAAAAUUCCAAGUUUUCUAUCGUCACAAAAAGAUCCUGCCUUUCUGGACGAAGCAUGUGUUAUGGCAGAUGAAGCUGAAAAAGCAAAAAUAUUUUUAAAAAAGAUGAGAGACUUAAAUAAAGGUAACAACAUAUUAAAAAUGAGGAAAGAUUUUGAAGCCAGAGAGGGAGGCCAAGGAAAUCGAAAAAACACUUGUAAAACAAGUGGUAACAACAAUUAUUGACAGUGACGAUGAGCUAGACAAUAUCCCAAUUUCAUCUAGACAACAUGGACAACCUGUGAGGCCGAAACCAAGCUCUAUAGUGAAACGGAUUAAAGAACGAUAAGUUAUGAAAUAUGUAAUAUUCACUUAAUAUACGUAAAUUGUAAUAAAAUGUUAUUUUCGUAUAUAGGUAAACCAAGUCAGAAGAAAACAUGACCUCAUCUUAAAGGAACAAGUUGACCUUAAUAAAUUGUCACGCCGUAAAAUCAGCAAAGACGAGCAUCUAGAGUUAAACAAGCUAAUAGAAAGGGCAGCAUUAGAUGGAAUGCUCACACUAGACAACGUCUCAUGCGAUUCAGAAUCUUUGAUAUCUAUUACUGACCACAUGCCAAUAAAGGGACCGGUAUAUAUUCCUUCGAUAAAUGAUAUAAAAAUUAUAAAUAAGUUUUUUGUUCUUAUUUGAAAGUACGACAUACUUCGGUGCAGUGUAUCUCUAUGUUUAUACAGGUUCUGAAGAAGAAGAUUGUAUGUGACCAUAUGAGACAUGGAAUAGUCAAAUUCUUGCACCCAAUCCAAAUGGUAUGAUUUUACAUACAUUUACUUUGUAAUAUUAGAAAUCGAAAUUGUAAUGGUAAAAUGUAAAAUGAGUGAUGCAGAAAAAAUGUCACGGUAAUCCUCCGAAUAAACAAUUGAAUGAUAAUGAAUGGUUAAAAUUGAAUCAAAAACCUAGAUGGGGAUAACGAAGACUGGACUAAAAUCGAGAAAGUAUUGGUCCUCAUUAAGAGACAAAGAGUAUGACAUUUAAUAUUUCUGUGCAUUUGCACGAAAACAUUUUAUCACUACUCUCUUUUCCGUAAUUUGGAACCUUUGAACAAACAAUUUGCAGACUGCGUAAGUUCUAUAACUUGGAAUGUCGACAUUAUUUAAUCGAAUUUCAAAAAUUUAUACAUUUAUUCAAUGCAGGUACUAUGGCUGAAUCACUACAUUAUGAACGUGUAUUCUGAUCAUCAUAAAUCGCAUUGGUUAACGUGACAGGUUGAAGAUUUUCCCUAGGCAUCAUUCAAGAAAACUCAAGACAGCGGAGUCUAUGUUCUCAUAGCAAUGAAUUACAUAGUUAUGAGAGACACCGUGCUCUUGAGUAGAAAAGAUGUGGAUCAAAUGGCUAACAAGAUCGUAUAUGACAUUCUUCGAGCUUCUCUUCUCAAUGUUAAUUGCUACCUAUCGUACAAGCAAAGAGCUUAGUAUGUGUCUGUAAAAAUAUUAUCAAUUGGGAUGACUACAAGUACAAUGUUUUGUUAGGAAAGGUACAUCGCUAAGUAUAUGUUUUAUCAUUAAAAACUUUUUGUAAUAGCAUUACUACCAUAGUAGAACGCAUUAGUUCGACAACGUAACAUAACAUGGCAAAGGUAGCAUCUCAUGUGAUCAUUGCAUGUGGUUGUAUAAGCAUUAUUGAAGUACAGAUCGACAUCCCAUGUUAUCAUGUGCUAGACCACGAAAUAAUACUACCAUGUACUCAAAAUAGCAUUAUAGCAAGGGCGAUCAACAUAUCAUGUGAUCAUGUGCAAGAGUACCAACUAAUAAUUUGGUCCAAAUAAAGAAUAGCAUUACAAUAAGUCGUAUGAGCAUCUCAUGGUAUCAUUUGCAAAAUAACUGAAUAAUAAUAGCAUUAGUAAUGUAGUUGCACGCACUAUCAAAAUCUUGGUCUCUGAUCAUUGCGCAAAACAUUUAACAGCAUUACAUUCAGUCGCAGAAGCAUCUCAUGUGAUGAUUUCCAAGAUAACCAAGUAAUAAUUGCAUUAGUGGUUCAUUUGCAAGCACUAACAAAAUCUUGGCCUCUGAUCAUUGCACAGACACAUAAUAGCAUUGCAAUCAGUCGUAGAAGCAUCUCUUGUGAUCAUUUGCAAGAUAAUCAAGUAAUAAUAGCAUUAGUAGCUCAGUUCCACGUAUUACCGAAAUUUUUUAUCUGAUCAUUGCGUAAUGACAUAAUAGCAUUACAAGCAGUCUUACAAGCAUCAAAUGUGAUCAUUUACAUAAUAACCAAGUAAUAAUAGCAUUAGAAGCUCAGUUCCACGCACUAACAAAAUGUUGGGUAUGAUCAUUGCACGAUCUCAUAAUAGCAUUACAAUAAGGCUAAGAAGCAUAUCAUGUUAUCAUUUGCAUGAUUACAGAUUACUAAUAGCAUUAGUAACGUGGUUGCACGCACUAUCAAAAUCUUGACUUCUGAUCAUUGCACAAACAUGUAAUAGCAUUACAUUCAGUCGUAAAAGCAUCUCAUGUGAUCAUUAGCAAGAUAACCAAGUAAUAAUAACAUUAGUAGUUCGGUUGCAAGAACUAACAAAAUCUUGUAUCUGAUCAUUGCGCAAACACACAAUAGCAUUACAAUCAGUAGUAAAAGCAUCUUUUGUGAUCAUUUGCAAGAUGACCGAGUAAUAAUAGCAUUAGCAACUCAUUUCCACGCAUUACCGAAAACUUGUAUCUGAUCAUUACACGAACACAUAAUAGCAUUACAAUCAGUCGUAGAAGCAUCUCAUGUGAUCAUUUGCAAUAUAACCAAGUAAUAAUAGCAUUAGUAGUUUCAGUUGCAAGCACCAAGAAAAUCUUGGCUUCUGAUCAUUGCGCAGACACAUAAUAGCAUUACAUUCAGUCGUAGAAGCAUCUCAUGUUAUUAUUUAUAAGAUAACCGAGUAAUAAUAGCAUUAAAACUCAGUUCCACACAUUACCGAAAACUUGAAUUUGAUCAUUGCGUAAUGACAUAAUAACAUUACAAGCAGUCUUAUAAGCAUCUCAUGUGAUCAUUUGUAUGAUAACCAAGUAAUAAUAACAUUAGUACCAAGGUUUAAUAGCAUUAACAUCGUAGUUGCACGCACUAACAAAAACUUGUAUCUGAUUAUUGGGUAAUGACAUAAUAACAUUACAAACAGUCUUACAAGCAUCUCGUGUGAUCAUUUGCAUGAUAACCAAGUAAUAAUAGCAUUAGUAGCUUGAUGAUACCCUCAGAAUUCACGACAAGCGAGUCGAAAUUAGGUUCAUUAUUCAAAACUAAAUCAGCAACUGUUUCAAGGGGAAUCGCCGACUCAACCCCCGGAGUCGUUGAUUCAGUCUGAUGAGUCGACGACUCGUAGCGUAUACUCGACGCUUCCGGGUCGUCAGUAAGCUUUUCCCUUCUCCUCUUGAACACGGCUUUCUUCUUAAGCCCCUUCGGAAUCGGCGACUCCACAAAGGGAAUCGUCGAUCCAGGAGCGGGCCCAUGCAUGAAUCUCGCCCUUCUCAAGAACAACCUCGGGCACAGUCUCAAGAGCCUUGUCUGGAAUCGUCGACUCCGUAGAGGGAAUCGACGACUCAGGCAAAGGCCCAAGCAGUUCAUGCACCAAGGCACUCAUAUUAUCGUCUGCGGAUGGAACAACCGGAGUCGUCGAUCCAGCCUCCCUGGGAGGAGACGGAAGCGGCGACUCGACGGUGUUCAGCACCCCGACGAGGUUCUCCCCGGCCAUCUCGUUGAUCAUCGCAUCUGUCUCGGCGUCCGAGAGGCGGGGAACGUUAGGACUUGUUCUGGCCAUUCCUGGGAAUCGUUGAUUCACAAGAAAAGAAACUGAGGAAUCGGCGAUUGAAGGAUCUAGGGUUUUAGGCGAUUCGAGAAUUGGGGAAUGUGGAGUGAGAAGUGAGAGGAGCUCACCACUAUUUAUAGCCUUUGGGAGAAUUGCAAAAAAAACCCAGAAAAUCCAGAAAUUGCAAGGGAAGAGAUCGGAAAUUGAUCUCUGAAUCCCUGAAAUCACGCCGGAGUCGACAACUCCGUAGGGGAGUCGCCGAUUCCGGACACUAAUUUGCAAAAUUGGGCAGAUAUAUUUCCUUAUUUGGGAAAUUUGCAAAUAUUCUCCAAAUAUCUCGAGGAUCUUCUAAGAGAUCCGACAGUUCACAACAGGAGUCGUCGAUUCCCAAAGGGAGUCGCCGAUUCCAGAGGGUAAAAUUUCAAAAUGCCCCUCACAGGUACCCAAAACUCAGGAAUGGCCGAUUGGGACACCCAAUCGCCGACUCAGGGUAAACUGCUUCACGAGCAUGUUUUCAGGGGGGAGUAUCACAAACUCUCUCCGGCACUUCUGUCGCUUCGGCCAGAAGUCGUUGCAUUUCGAGGGGGAGUAUCACAAACUCUAUCCGGCAUCAUGGUUCAAAUCUAGGGUUAUAAUAAAAAAAUUACGAGUUUAACCCUCGAUUUCCAAAUAUUUACAUCUUAUUUUUUGAUCUGUUAUUCGUGCUAUUUUUUACAACUCUGUGUUAAAUUGGAAAUGUAAAUUGUCCGCAAAUUUAACGGACGGCUGAACUACGAUUCGUACGACCAAACUUACGCCCAGAGUGGCUAAGAUAGGGUUAGCAGAGUCUGACUUAUGUCCAGAGAGGCUAAGUUACGACUUGUGAAUCUAGCUUCGAGCCUAAGUUACAAUUUAAAUGAUGAUUUAUAUGAAAAAUUAACAAAGAAAAAACAAAAAAUAGUUCAUUGACAGUCAAAAUAAAAAGAUUACAAAAUAUUGUAGAAAAAUUAAUCAUUCCAAAAAAAAAAAUACAUAUGUCACACUGACAUGAUCCUCAGGGAGGAGUAUCACAAACUCUUUCCGACACUUCUGUCGCUUAGGCCAGAAGUCGUCACAUUUCGAGGGGGAGUAUCACAAACUCUCCCGAUACUUUUGUCGCUUCGGCCAGAAAUCGUCACAUUUCGAGGGGGAGUAUCACAAACUCUCCCGUCCCUACGGCCGGAAGUUGUCAAAAUAGAGCACGGUAAAUCUGUUGCUUCGGCCAGAAUCCGGUCUAUCUUGUCGCUUUGGUCUUGAUAGACCAGAGAUCAUUUUGUCGCUUUGGCCUUAAUAAUGGGUUCACCGUCGUUGCGGACAUAAAGUCGCUCUUGAUCAGAGUUGACUAUAAAUAUUAGUUCUAUCGUUUUGGCUAGAACUAGAUUCUGUCGCUUCGGCCAGAAUCGGAUCUAUUCUGUCGCUUUGGCUUUAAUAGAUCCAGGUCCAUUUUGUCGCUUUGGCUUUAAUGGACCAAGAAUUAUUUUGUCGCUUUGGCUUUAACAAUUCUCUCAUCUUGUCGCUUUGGCCUUGAUGACACAACAAAAGUCGCUCUUGAUCAGAGUUGGACUAUAAACACGUAGUUCCGUUGGCAUGAAACUAAAUUCUGUCGCUUCGGCCAGAAUCAAGAAUCAAUCCAUUUUGUCGCUUUAGCCUUAAUGGAUACAGAAUCAUGGUGUCGCUGUGGCCGCAAUGAUUCAAUCCCAUCUUGUCGCUUUGGCCUUGAUGCGGAUCACACACAACCUUGCUUGGAAGGGGAUAUUGGCGAUACACGCAUGUUUCUUGUGCUCUCUUUAGGGGGGAGUACUGAUGAGACAUGUCUGAUUACGUCAGUCACUCCCAUCAACGCCUUUCAACAAGGACUAGGGUUUCGUCGCUUUAUGCCGGACUCCCGGGGAACAAAACGGUUGCGGAACAAGUGUCUACGUCAAGUCCUCAAGUCAACACAUGGGAAUCGACGAUUGGGACUACCAAGUCGCCGAUUCCAGAGGUGAGUCGACGAGUCGAGAUCAAGUUAGUCAGUUCUGGUAGACUGACGACCUUGCUCCUAGGACUCGCCGAUUCCACCUCUGAAUCGACGACUCCCAUACCUGAGUCGCCGAUUCUUAGCCGUUACUUGUGGCUGGCUCACAACAUUAUGGCACCAUUAAUCGGGCGCUAUAAUGGUGUGGGCCCGGCUCUAUAUUGGGUCGUUUCCCCAAAGACCCUAUAAAGGGGUCCUUGGGGGUCCUCCCAAUCCAUCUCAUCCUCACUUGACACACCCCAACCAGAGCACAUUAAGGAGCCUGAAUCGUCUAAUCUCAAGCUGAGUCGUCGAUUCCCCUCCUCUCUGCAGGAAUUUGACGUAGAGCGCGCGUCGUUGACUCCAAAGCCUCCGGCCCUUCUCGCAACCCCGCGAGCCCCUGGUAGCAGAUUACGUGCUUCAUCAUAGCUCAGUUCCACGCACUAACAAAAUGUUGGGUAUGAUCAUUGCACGAUCUCAUAAUACAACUUACGAAAAUGACAGUCUUUUUAUGACGAUUGACUCCACAAAACAUUUCAAAUAUCAAAGAAUAAACAUUCGUUUUAUAAGUGGUGUCAAAUAUUGUAACUGCAUCUCCAAAUAACUUAAAAUGUUGAAUCAUUAUAGAAUCAGCUUAAAAAACAUGUUUCAAUCUUCCGAUCGAAUCUUUGACAAUAGAAUAAAAGAAAUCAGACUGUACAUAAUUUUUCGUUUCGAAUUUCUCGACCAAUAGAUCAACGUUAUAAUUCUUCAAAUCGACACAACCCAAAUUUGAUAUAUUCAAUUGAGUAUAUCCCAUAUGCUCGAUUCCACCGACUUGAAAAACGGAUACGUUGACAUCACUAAUAGAAUUGAAAAGUAAUAUGAAGGUAGAGAGGAUAUUGAAAGGUACCGUACUUUGGAUAUUGAACGGUUAUUGAAGUGAUUAAUAGUCACGUCUCAUUGGAAAUAGUUUUUUUCUUUCUUCUAAGUCAAGCAACCGUUGACAAGACAAUACAACGCAUAGGUUCAUACAUAUGUUUCCUGCUAUUAAUUAACUAGCUAUUGAUUUAUUCAUGUCACAUUCUAUUAUCCAGCAUGUAAACGGUUAAUUACAUCAUUCUACUACUAUUAUGUAACACACGGCUGACAUUACAUCAACUUAUACCAACGGCCAGGAUUGAUACGGCACAUAUAGUUAUAUUCCACCAGAAUUUUUCCCUAUAUAUAUAUAUAUAUAUAACGAAGCAGCGAUUGGUUGUAGAGUUAAAAAUAUGAUAUACAAGCUGAUUUAGAAUCUUAAUUGUGUAAUUUAGAAGAAGUCGUUUGUUUAACUGCAAUAAUCUAAAUAAAAUGACGGAAUUCAUGGCUAGAAAUGGACGAGGGGCCGGUUUCGUCUGUGUAUAAAUUCCCCACAAGGCCACAACGUAUAGCAUCGUACUUACUCAUAAUAAAUAAUAUAUAUAUAUAUAUAUAUAUAUAUAAUUUAUAACAAAUUUAUAAACACAUAAAUAAAUAAAUAAAUAAUUAUAUAUAGAUAUAACUAUAAUAUAAUAUAUGGGAGGGUUUAAUUUAUCAGUUGAUUCUUUUUUUUUUUGGUGUUGGUUUUGGUUUUGGGCUUCACCCAGAUUGACAAAGUCGUUUCCACGAAAAGCUUUGUGUUGACAAAAUAUGGAGCCAAGAGCAAUGGAAAAAGUGAUUGUACCAGUGCCUUGUUAGCUGCAUGGAAAGAUGCAUGUCAAACCCCAGGAGGCGCCAUGGUUCUGGUUCCUUCCGGCAAGUAUCUCACUGCCAUGGCGUUUUUGAAGGGACCAUGCAAAGGUCCCAUGACAUUCAAAUUGGAUGGAGUGCUUUUGGCCACCAAAGAUCUUUCAAAAUAUCAAAGAAAAAAUUGGAUUUCAUUUGAAUUCAUUAAGAAUUUCAAACUCAUCGGCAGAGGAACGUUCGAUGGGCAAGGUCAAUCGGCAUGGGCAAAUAACAAGAGGACCGGAAAAACUUUCCCCACGGUACGUACGUUAAAAUAGCUAGAUAGAUUUCAAAUGAAAUGUUUAUAGUUUUUUUUUACAAUCGAUCGAUCUAAUCAUGUGGUCGGUCGGAUUUAAAAACAUGCAUUAACCAGUCUUUGCAAUUCACCAAUAUCGACAACGGAGUAGUCCAAGGAUUCUCUUUAUUAAACGCGAAGAUGUUUCACAUGAUGAUCUUCCGAUGCAACAACCUGAUGGUGGACAGCGUAAAAAUCAACGCACCAGGCAACAGUCCCAACACAGAUGGCAUUCACAUAAGUCUCUGUAACAACAUCAUUAUCAAAAACACCAAGAUAAGUACCGGAGAUGACUGCAUCUCCAUAGGGCAGACCAACAGAGGUCUCUCCAUCACCAACGUGAUCUGCGGCCCAGGACAUGGUAUCAGUGUGGGAAGUCUCGGAAAGUAUAAUUCUGACAAGGAUGUUAGCGACAUCAUGGUGAGUAGGUGCAACAUCAAGGGAACAACCAAUGGCGUUAGAAUCAAGACAUGGCAGAAAUCUUACCCCUUGACUUGCAGAAACUUCACGUUCCAAAACAUCAAGAUGGAUAACGUGUUGAACCCCAUCAUUAUCGAUCAGGAAUACUGUCCAUAUGGAAAUGGGCGUUGCGGUGGACAAUCGACCUCAUCUCAGGUUAGUAUCAGAGACGUCACUUACGACACAAUCAAAGGAUCCUCG
rnacentral:lncRNA from 1 species